UACGAAGGGGGUUAGCGUUGCUCGGAAUCACUGGGCGUAAAGCGCACGUAGGCGGAUUGCUAAGUCAGGGGUGAAAUCCUGGAGCUCAACUCCAGAACUGCCCUUGAUACUGGCGACCUUGAGUCCGGGAGAGGUGAGUGGAACUGCGAGUGUAGAGGUGAAAUUCGUAGAUAUUCGCAAGAACACCAGUGGCGAAGGCGGCUCACCGGCCCGGUACUGACUAUGAGGUGCGAAAGCGUGGGGAGCAAACAGG
rnacentral:rRNA from 1 species